GCAGACCAACACGCUCACCUGCUCACACUCGCACAAACACACCCUCAUGGAGGUGCAGCCAAUCAAGAGCAACCCCGCGCUCACGGAGGGAUGCAGUACCGGCACGGCGACCGCCAUGGCAACCGCCAUGGCAACCACCACCGCGGCGAAGCGAAAAGGCAUGGUCACGCGCCGGGACAUGACAGAGAGCAACAGCAGCUGGAGCGUGAGCUACAGCAAGGAGCAGCACACACACACCACACAGACGGAGUCGACAGAAGGGCUCAUCUCUGAGCAGCCCCUGGCCCCCAGUCUUCUGUCUGAGGGCCACAGGGCCCCCAUGCGUGGAUCCAGGAGCCCCAACCUCAGCCAGCGGGACACGUCCUGGACCCAGUCAGAGCUCUCGCCUCUGGAGCUGCAGGCCCCAGAUCCGCUGGAUUUCUGGAUGGAUGACAUCUACACCCCAGCCUCAGACAGGCUCCUGCAUCGCAAGCGCCCCUCACGGAAGUGCCCCCCGGCCAGAGCCUAUCGCCUCGUCGCACUCUGCGUGACCGCUGCCGCCAUCUUAGUGCUCAUCAUAGUCAUCCCUAUCUGUACAGCAUAGCUCCUUUCUCUCCCUUUCUCUUUCCCUUUCUCUCUCUCUCUCUCUCUCUCUCUCUCUCUCUCUCUCUCUCUCUCUCUCUCUCUCUCUCUCUCUUUCUCUCACACGCACAAACACACACACAAUAACAGACACACACACUUAUCACUUUCAUACUGAGCUCGUGUAAUGCAACGGUAUGCCCUCUACAACUAGCUAAGAGAAUCUUCUUCAAAUAAAAACAUAACUAGAG
rnacentral:lncRNA from 1 species